AAAUUUCUCUGUACUUUCUUCAUUCAAAAUCCAAACUCAGAAGUAGGGAGACUGGUGUUGGGUAUAAAAUAACCCCAGCCGAAGUUUGUGAGAGACCAACCCUCUCAGGACUCUUCCAGCUUCUGACCUUGUGCGACGUUCCUGAACUCCCCCGGUCAUCCGAACUUUCACAGUACCAUCCGAACUCCUCCAGCAGUCGACCUUCCACAGUGUCCUCCAGAUUCCUCCAACGGACGAACUCCUAUCAUGCCAUCCGGACUUCUCUAAUAAUGAGCUCCUUCAUUCGUCUAUCGGACUGCUCCAAAUGCUCUCUGGGCUUCACUAUCAGUCAAUUUUCUACAGGGAUCGACUACUCUCUGAAUCUCUUCCAG
rnacentral:lncRNA from 1 species